rnacentral:rRNA from 1 species
CCUACGGGUGGCAGCAGUGAGGAAUAUUGGUCAAUGGACGAGAGUCUGAACCAGCCAAGUAGCGUGAAGGAUGACUGCCCUCUGGGUUGUAAACUUCUUUUAUAUGGGAAUAAAAUGUUCCACGUGUGGGAUUUUGUAUGUACCAUAUGAUUCAGGAUAGGCUAACUCUGUGUCAGCAGCCGCGGUAAUACGGAGGAUCCGAGAGUUAUACGGGUGUAUUGGGGUUAAAGGGAGCGUAGGUGGAUUUUUAAGUCAGUUGUGAAAGUUUGCGGCUCAACCGUAAAAUUGCAGUUGAAACUGGAAGUCUUGAGUACAGUAGAGGUAGGCGGAAUUCGUGGUGUAGCGGUGAAAUGCUUAGAUAUCACGAAGAACUCCGAUGGCGAAGGCAGUUCACUGGACUGCAACUGACACUGAGGCUCGAAAGUGUGGGGAUCAAACAGGAUUAGAUACCCCAGUAGUC